rnacentral:rRNA from 1 species
UACGGAGGGGGCUAGCGUUGUUCGGAAUUACUGGGCGUAAAGCGCACGUAGGCGGCUUUGUAAGUUAGAGGUGAAAUCCCCAGGCUCAACUUGGGAACUGCGUCUGAUACUGGAUGGCUUGAAUUCGGGAGAGGGAUGCAGAAUUCCAGGUGUAGCGGUGAAAUGCGUAGAUAUCUGGAGGAAUACCGGUGGCGAAGGCGGCAUCCUGGACCGAGAUUGACACUGAUGAGCGAAAGCUAGGGGAGCAAACGGG